GGGGCCGACCUGGCUUCGACGUGGGUCGCGAAGCAGCGCAGUGCAUACCGAGGACCAGUCACCUCGUAAAUCCAUCUGGGAAACUAUAAACGCCAACG
rnacentral:tmRNA from 1 species